rnacentral:tRNA from 1 species
UGGGAUGUAGCUCAGUGGUAGGGCACUUGCCUUGCAUGUGCAAGGCUCUUGGUUCAAUUCCUAGCACCCUGU